CAGCAGCCGCGGUAAUACGUAGGGUGCGAGCGUUAAUCGGAAUUACUGGGCGUAAAGCGUGCGCAGGCGGUUUUGUAAGUCAGAUGUGAAAUCCCCGGGCUUAACCUGGGAACUGCGUUUGAAACUACAAGGCUAGAGUGUAGCAGAGGGGGGUGGAAUUCCACGUGUAGCAGUGAAAUGCGUAGAGAUGUGGAGGAACACCGAUGGCGAAGGCAGCCCCAUGGGUUAACACUGACGCUCAGGCACGAAAGCGUGGGGAGCAAACAGGAUUAGAUACCCAGGUAGUCCACGCCCUAAACUAUGUCAACUAGUUGUAGGGCCUUAACGGGCUUGGUAACGUAGCUAACGCGUGAAGUUGACCGCCUGGGGAGUACGGUCGCAAGAUUAAAACUCAAAGGAAUUGACGG
rnacentral:rRNA from 1 species